UCAACGGCCCUUAUCAGGGCCACCAUAAGAGUCACUUAAUACUUUG
rfam:Rhodnius prolixus Rhodnius_prolixus-3.0.3-192.25, whole genome shotgun sequence.